rnacentral:rRNA from 1 species
CCCUUAGAUGUCCUGGGCCGCACGCGCGCUACACUGAUGCAUGCAACGAGUUUCAUUUCUCCUGGGUCGAGAGGCCCGGGUAAUCUGUUGAACGUGCAUCGUGAUAGGGAUAGAUCAUUGCAAUUAUUGAUCUUGAACGAGGAAUUCCUAGUAAACGCGAGUCAUCAGCUCGCAUUGAUUACGUCCCUGCCCUUUGUACACACCGCCCGUCGCUCCUACCGAUUGAAUGUUCCGGUGAGCUCUUCGGACUGCGCGGUCUGCAGUUUCUGCGUUCCGUGCGGAAAGUUGCGCAAACCUUAACAUUUAGAGGAAGGAGAAGUCGUAACA